CAGGCAUGGUGAUGAUGUGUAUCAUCUGAUAUUCAUUUUUGAUGAAUUUACUUACCUCCUACUCAUACUGA
rfam:Prunus persica cultivar Lovell chromosome G7, whole genome shotgun sequence.